rnacentral:rRNA from 1 species
AACGAACGCUGGCGGCAGGCCUAACACAUGCAAGUCGAGCGAGGACUUCGGUCCUAGCGGCGGACGGGUGAGUAACGCGUGGGAACGUGCCCUUUGCUUCGGAAUAGCCCUGGGAAACUGGGAGUAAUACCGGAUGAGCCCUUUGGGGGAAAGAUUUAUCGGGGAAGGAUCGGCCCGCGUUGGAUUAGGUAGUUGGUGGGGUAAUGGCCUACCAAGCCGACGAUCCAUAGCUGGUUUGAGAGGAUGAUCAGCCACACUGGGCCUGAGACACGGCCCAGACUCCUACGGGAGGCAGCAGUGGGGAAUCUUAGACAAUGGGGGAAACCCUGAUCUAGCCAUGCCGCGUGAGCGAUGAAGGCCUUAGGGUUGUAAAGCUCUUUCAGCUGGGAAGAUAAUGACGGUACCAGCAGAAGAAGCCCCGGCUAACUCCGUG